rnacentral:lncRNA from 1 species
AGCUUCUUCACCCAGUAGUCUGGGUGCAUGACUCCUGGGGCAGGAGGCCCCUCCUCCAGGAAACUGGUGGCCUGCUCCUCUCCUAGCAGGAGGACCAGUGGGAAUUUCCAGUGUGACCACCCAUCUCACACCUGGAGCUUUUCUGUUGCUUGUGGGGCAUUGGAGACAAGAGACAGGUGAAGUUUUAUAGCUUUUGCUACAUUUAUCAGCUUGUACUUCAGAAACAUUGAGUCAAGUUAAAGUGAUACCAGCAAGGAGGGAAAAAAAACCCCACAAAAAACCCAGAGAAGAACUCAGCACUUUGGAGCAACUGAAAGCAGCUUUGAAUUACAGGGAAGUCUAGAACAGAGAGUGCGAGUGCGCAGCUGUGAACUGAAAAGACUAGCCCUGAGCUAACAUCUGCCACCAAUUCUCCUCUUUUUGCUGAAGAAGACUGGCCCUGAGCUAACAUCCAUGCCCAACUUCCUCUACCUUAUAUGUGGGACGCCUACCACAGCAUGGCUUGCCAAGUGGUGCCGUGUCCGCACCCGGGGUCCGCACCUGGGAUCCGAACCGGCGAACCCCGGGCUGCCGAAGUGGAACAUGAGAACUUAACUGCUGCACCACUGGGCCAGCC